GGUUCUGUAGAGACAUGAUGGCGAAGGUUCUACAAUGUGAAUGUACUUAACGCCAUUGAAAUGUACACUUAAACAUGGUUAAAAUGGUAUCUUCUACGUUAUGUAUAUUUUUACCAUAAGAAAAAGUUUUCUUUGUAUGAAAAUAUACCCUCUUAUAGACUCAAAGUUGCUGAUGAGCCCUCUACAUGGGUUGAUGUAACCAUCUCUUUACCUCAAGACGAGGUUGAUCCAUCCAAGAUUGAAGGGAAUUUACCCUAUUUUCAGAUAUUUCCAGGGAAGGGAGCCCAUGACAUUAUUAGAUAAUCUUUUCCAAUGUCUCAAAACCCCAGACAUUCUUGGUACCAGACCUUUCCUGCUGCACCUGCAGUUGACUUUCCUUGGUCAGUAAGUGCUUUGUCAGGCCACAAACUCUUCAUGCACUGAAAGGCUCUAGUUACACCAUCCCCAGUGUAGAUCUGAUGGUGCCAAGUAACAGGCCAGAGAGUGGACUUUGGAGGCCCAGUGAGGCUCCCUGUCUCACAGGCUUCUCAUCAGCAUCACAGAUGAACAACACUAGGCUUGGAUUUCUAAACAGCCUGGGACACAGGCCCCAAGGCCCUGGCAGGUGAAGUGUCUACCAUUUCUCACUUCAUUCAGAAUGUAGAAUAGUUUGUUGGAUGCUAGAACUUUACCCUUUCAGGUUGAUGUCUUUACUCUUCAGCUGGAGGCUUCUUGCUGAGAGGGAAGCAUUUCCCAAAGACACGGGAGCUGAGCUGGUGAGUCAUUUCAGCAGCCCUUACACUCUCCUCUGACCAGAGACCACAUAUUAAUCAGCUGCUUAAAAGGUGUACCUGGCAGGCAUGUUUCCCACAGCCCGGAAGAUGCUGACCUCAUCGGUUCUGAAACAUCAAAAGGCUAAACGAGAACAACAGGCUGCGAAAGACCUCAUCACGUGGGUACCUGUUGACCGCAGCCUUGUAAGGCCCAACACAGCUGAGAUGUGCUGUCUGGAGCUCAGAGGAAGUGGAGCUUUUUCUGCUGUGAGGACCCGCCUUCAGCCCCCUUCUGGGGUACAGGAAGGGGAGGGGGUGAGCCUAAAUUGUGGCGCCAUGCUCAGAUGUCACUGCUAUCACAAAGGAAAAUUCAUGUGGGGGUGGGCACCUCCAGAGACCUCACUCACCUGUGAUUCGAGGGAUAAUAGCAUCACUCGUGUGUUCAUGUGCUAGGCCUGUCACCCUGGAACAUUACUGUGUUGACAGUGAUUUCAACUCUUGGAUUAUAUGAAGGACCUGGCUGCCAGAAGGUGUUGAGCCCUCAGGAGGACAACAGGCCUCAGUGCCAUCCUCCUUCCACCCUCCCCGACCACCCCUCCUCUUUCUAAGCUCUUGGAACCAAGUAGCUAUGAAGACUCUGAGACCUGGACCAUCCCAAGGCUGUAGCUUUCUUCAAUGCUGCUGGGCUCUGCUACGGUGAAAAGUCUGAAGGCGUUUUCUUUUCCAGACGUAAUUAUUAACCAACCUUCACAUCAGAUUCACAAUCGGAAAGCCAGCUAUUAAACAUUUACCAGCACACUACUGGAGAGGAGUGUAUAUGGACUGCUCCCUUGGGAUUCCAGAAGAAAGAACGCUGUAGAACAUCUAUACAACUUGGCAAUCAGGGGCCUGAGGUACAGCUGAAGUACAGCUGUGGAAGAGGAGAUGCUAAAUUGCUGGGAAGAGAGCAACACAGAUGAUACAGUCAGCAGCCAGAGACUACUCUCAGAACAGGAAUGUGAAAAAAUCAAUCAGAUAUUCUGAACUGAAAUCUACCACUGGAUACCAACAAGGUUAAAUGGUAGAAAAGCCAUAAUCAUUUCUAAAUUCAAGGGUAGGAUUAAUGCUGUAUUUUUGCAGUAUCUGAAAGUUCUGUGGCCUUUCUUAUAUGCCAGUUUAUGUGAUCACCAGAACAGAACUGAGGUUCAGGGGAAAGUCAGCUAUCAGCAUUGGCCCCAUUUUACAGAUGGAAAACUGAGGCAGUGGAAGGUAAAAUAGUUUGCCCACGGUUACUCUUUUUGCAUAAAUGGCUACCCUGGGACUAGAGGCGGGGCAGAACUUUCACAGACCUUUGGGGUCAGACAUACCUUGGUUAAAAACUCAACCCUGACAUUUAUGUAACUUUGGUAAUGUUUCUUUACAUUUUUAAGUCUUGGGGUUUCUGUUUUUUCAUUUGUUUGUUUUUUAACUUACAAAAUGGGGAUGAUAAAGCCUAGAUCACAAGUUUGCAGUGAGGGUUAGUUUAAGGAGAUGAUAGGUGCGAAGGGCAUGGUGCUUGGAAAGCCUUUGCACCUCUCACCAUGGUGUGAUAAAUUAUUUACAUUUGAUUUUAAAAUACAGUAUAAGGCUCUUUUGGCUCACAUA